rnacentral:rRNA from 1 species
GACGAACGCUGGCGGCGUGCUUAACACAUGCAAGUCGAACGGAAAGGCCCUGCUUUUGUGGGGUGCUCGAGUGGCGAACGGGUGAGUAACACGUGAGUAACCUGCCCUUGACUUUGGGAUAACUUCAGGAAACUGGGGCUAAUACCGGAUAGGAGCUCCUGCUGCAUGGUGGGGGUUGGAAAGUUUCGGCGGUUGGGGAUGGACUCGCGGCUUAUCAGCUUGUUGGUGGGGUAGUGGCUUACCAAGGCUUUGACGGGUAGCCGGCCUGUGAGGGUGACCGGCCACAUUGGGACUGAGAGACGGCCCAGACUCCUACGGGAGGCAGCAGUGGGGAAUAUUGCACCAUGGGCGGAAGCCUGAUGCAGCAACGCCGCGGGCGGGAUAACGGCCUUCGGGUUGUAAACCGCUUUCGCCUGUGACGACGCGUGAGUGACGGUAAUGGGUAAAGAAGCACCGGCUAACUACGUG